rnacentral:ncRNA from 1 species
GAGGUGGAAUCUGAAAAACCUUAAUAAGAGUAAGAA